UCGAACGCCCCGCAAGGGGAGUGGCAGGCGGGUGAGUAACACGUGGGAACAUACCCUUCGGUACGGAACAACUCGGGGAAACGCGAGCUAAUACCGUAUACGCCUUGGCGGGGAAAGAUUUAUCGCCGAAGGAUUGGCCCGCGUCCGAUUAGCUAGUUGGUGAGGUAAUGGCUCACCAAGGCGACGAUCGGUAGCUGGUCUGAGAGGAUGGCCAGCCACAUUGGGACUGAGACACGGCCCAA
rnacentral:rRNA from 1 species